CUCCGUCUGCCUGCUCCCGGGCUCCAGGCCCAGCGCGCCCAGAUGCCGGGCGGGACCCCUCCACCCGUUGCUGGAACACCAACAGCAGUCUUGGAGCCUCUGGGCGGGAGGAACUGGGGCCUCCACCGACACCUGCUUCUUCCCUCACCUCGCAGCCUCCCACACCUGUUGGUCUGACCUCUGCCCCGCCGCCGCCACCGAGUAACCUAAGGCUUUUGGCCUGAUUCGAGCUCACUGUGUCUAAACCUCUAAAUGCGGUGCGAAAAAAUCCUGGGGAAUGUGCCAUGGCAAAGCCUGGGCAUUUCAAGUGCUUUUCUGGAUUCUCAUCAAUUCCUCUUUACAGGAAUCUUUAUCCGGAAUUCAGCUAGUCCCAAACCCCACGUGGUGUUGCUCUGCUUGUGUUUUUGAAUCCAGGGGCCUCUUUGAAUCAGAAGCCCUUUGUAUAGAGAUAAGUAUCCUUCAGGCCAGAAGCAGCCUCCACUUUUUUCGCAGUCCCAUUUCCUACCCAACGCUUUCUUCUGAGUUUUAAAGGCAUUCGAUAGAGAAGGGGUUGGAAACAGAACCUUCGUCCCCCGCCUGAGCGCCUCGGAGACUAGAUAUCUUCCAAACAUCAUCUCAUUUACUUCCCUGAAGUUACUACUAGGUAGAUUUCAUGUCUGUUGAGAGGUGAGAAAGCUGAAACUUUGAGACUUAAGAAUCCUGGCCGAGGUCACCCUCCUCCGAAGCUUCAUCUCUUGCCACCACUUUCUGGUGCACACCUAGGACAGAUUUCAAUCCCUGAGAUCCCAGGAUGAAAACUAUGUUCGCCAAAUACCAGCUACAGUGCCAGAAGAGAUCAUGGAACAAGGUGUGGCAACCUGCUUGAGAAGAGGAGCCAAAACAUCAUAGUUGAACCGUCCUGCAAUAGAAACUCACCCUGAAUUCUUUCUUGUGUGAAAUCCAAGGACCCUCUUUUGGGGUCUAGAUCAGGACCCUGUUCCUGUAACAAGUCCACAAUGCCAGAGAAUUAAAGAGAACCACAAAGCCGAACCUCAAAAAGUUAGCCUGGCAAGGCUGGAGAAGGGUGAGAUUUCCCCUCUUGUCACAUAAACAAGGAAGUAAAGGAGGCCCUUGUGCUCUCAGAACUCCAAGCAUGAAACAAUAGCAAAGGGAAAAAUAACUAAGUGCUUCCUGGCUGAAUUUUAUUUUGCUUUCAGUUUCUGCCACUUCAGUUCCUGUUAUCAUGCUUCGAGGUGCACUGAACUGCAGCAAACCCAGGGGAUCCAAGGCCAUGUUGAAAAGCCUUUGACCGCAGUGCAGGGAGCAGAAGACAUUAAUGACGUGAUGUCGACACAGCCCGCACUCAGGAUCCUCCAGGAGAAGAACACAGAGAUAACCCCGGAUCAAUGGUACUUUUUGAAAAUGCUUUACUGGGAAAGAGUGGCUAGGGUUUUACAAGGGCUAUGAAGAAACAUAUUUAGGUUAAUAAAGCUUUUUAUUGAGUGUUUA